rnacentral:rRNA from 1 species
UGGGGAAUAUUGCACAAUGGGCGCAAGCCUGAUGCAGCCAUGCCGCGUGUGUGAAGAAGGCCUUCGGGUUGUAAAGCACUUUCAGCGAGGAGGAAGGUGGUGAACUUAAUACGUUCAUCAAUUGACGUUACUCGCAGAAGAAGCACCGGCUAACUCCGUGCCAGCAGCCGCGGUAAUACGGAGGGUGCAAGCGUUAAUCGGAAUUACUGGGCGUAAAGCGCACGCAGGCGGUUUGUUAAGUCAGAUGUGAAAUCCCCGGGCUCAACCUGGGAACUGCAUUUGAAACUGCAAGCUAGAGUCUCGUAGAGGGGGGUAGAAUUCCAGGUGUAGCGGUGAAAUGCGUAGAGAUCUGGAGGAAUACCGGUGGCGAAGGCGGCCCCCUGGACGAAGACUGACGCUCAGGUGCGAAAGCGUGGGGAGCAAACAGAUUAGAUACCCUGGUAGUCCACGCUGUAAACGAUGUCGA